rnacentral:rRNA from 1 species
ACGGGAGGCAGCAGUAGGGAAUCUUCCACAAUGGGCGAAAGCCUGAUGGAGCAACGCCGCGUGGGUGAAGAAGGAUUUCGGUUCGUAAAACUCUGUUGUAAGGGAAGAACAAGUACAGUAGUAACUGGCUGUACCUUGACGGUACCUUAUUAGAAAGCCACGGCUAACUACGUGCCAGCAGCCGCGGUAAUACGUAGGUGGCAAGCGUUGUCCGGAAUUAUUGGGCGUAAAGCGCGCGCAGGCGGUCCUUUAAGUCUGAUGUGAAAGCCCACGGCUCAACCGUGGAGGGUCAUUGGAAACUGGGGGACUUGAGUGCAGAAGAGGAAAGCGGAAUUCCACGUGUAGCGGUGAAAUGCGUAGAGAUGUGGAGGAACACCAGUGGCGAAGGCGGCUUUCUGGUCUGUAACUGACGCUGAGGCGCGAAAGCGUGGGGAGCAAACAGGAUUAGAUACCCUGGUAGUCCACGCCGUAAACGAUGAGUGCUAAGUGUUAGGGGGUUUCCGCCCCUUAGUGCUGCAGCUAACGCAUUAAGCACUCCGCCUGGGGAGUACGGCCGCAAGGCUGAAACUCAAAGGAAU